rnacentral:misc_RNA from 1 species
GAUGAAGAACGCAGCGAAAUGCGAUAAGUAAUGUGAAUUGCAGAAUUCAGUGAAUCAUCGAAUCUUUGAACGCACCUUGCGCUCCUUGGUAUUCCAAAGAGCAUGCCUGUUUGAGUAUCAUUAAAUUAUCAACUGUACCAAUUUGGUUGCAGAUUGGAUGUGGGAGAUUUUGCAGGCUUUUGAUUUCUCUUUGAGAAAACGGUCAGCUCUCCUGAAAUAUAUUAGCAGUGCCUUUGUUGGUCAUUAGGUGUGAUAAUUUAUCUACAUCUUCACAUGGUACCUUCAUUUGUGUAAAGGUCAUAUUGCUUCUAAUUGUCUUUGGACAUAAAAAAAAAAAAACAUAUAAUUGUAUGGAAAACUUGAUCUCAAAUCAGGCAGGACUACCCGCUGAACUUAAGCAUAUCAAUAAGCGGAGGA